rnacentral:rRNA from 1 species
GGAAAUCUCACCAGCCCCACACAUAAAGAGGAUUGACAGUUCUUUCUUGAUUCUAUGGUUGGUGGUGCAUGGCCGUUCUUAGUUGGAGGAGUGAUCUGUCUGGUUAAUUCCGUUAACGAACGAGAUCUUAUCCUACUAAAUAGAAUAUUUUACAGUUUUCUUCUUAGAGGGACACUUAAUCGCUUAGAUUAAGGAACUUUGAGGUAAUAA